rnacentral:rRNA from 1 species
AUACGGAGGGUGCAAGCGUUGUCCGGAUUUAUUGGGUUUAAAGGGUGCGUAGGUGGCGUGUUAAGUCAGUGGUGAAAGCCUGCAGCUCAACUGUAGAGGUGCCAUUGAUACUGACAUGCUUGAGUAUGGACGAGGUAGGCGGAAUUUGUGGUGUAGCGGUGAAAUGCAUAGAUACCACAAAGAACACCGAUAGCGAAGGCAGCUUACUGGACCAUAACUGACACUGAGGCACGAAAGUGUGGGUAGCGAACAGGAUUAGAAACCCCAGUAGUCC